rnacentral:rRNA from 1 species
CGCUGACGACCGGCGCACGGGUGCGUAACGCGUAUAGAACCUACCUUAUAUUGGGGGAUAGCCCAGAGAAAUUUGGAUUAAUACCCCAUAGUAUGCUGAAGUGGCAUCGCUUUAGUAUUAAAGAUUUAUCGAUAUAAGAUGGCUAUGCGUUCUAUUAGCUAGUUGGUAUGGUAACGGCAUACCAAGGCUACGAUAGAUAGGGGUCCUGAGAGGGAGAUCCCCCACACUGGUACUGAGACACGGACCAGACUCCUACGGGAGGCAGCAGUGAGGAAUAUUGGACAAUGGAGGCAACUCUGAUCCAGCCAUGCCGCGUGCAGGAAGACUGCCCUAUGGGUUGUAAACUGCUUUUAUAGAGGAAGAAACCCCCCGACGAGUCGGGGUCCGACGGUACUCUACGAAUAAGGAUCGGCUAACUCCGUGCCAGCAGCCGCGGUAAUACGGAGGAUCCAAGCGUUAUCCGGAAUCAUUGGGUUUAAAGGGUCCGUAGGCGGAUUUGUAAGUCAGUGGUGAAAGUUUGCGGCUCAACCGUAAAAUUGCCAUUGAUACUGCAAGUCUUGAAUCAUUGUGAAGUGGUUAGAAUAUGUAGUGUAGCGGUGAAAUGCAUAGAUACUACAUAGAAUACCGAUUGCGAAGGCAGAUCACUAACAAUGUAUUGACGCUAAGGGACGAAAGCGUGGGCAGCGAACAGGAUUAGAUACCCUGGUAGUCCACGCCGUAAACGAUGGUCACUAGCUGUUUGGUUUUCGGACUGAGUGGCUAAGCGAAAGUGAUAAGUGACCCACCUGGGGAGUACGUUCGCAAGAAUGAAACUCAAAGGAAUUGACGGGGGCCCGCACAAGCGGUGGAGCAUGUGGUUUAAUUCGAUGAUACGCGAGGAACCUUACCAGGGCUUAAAUGUAGUCUGACAGCUUUAGAGAUAGAG